AUCUACGGCCAUACCACCCUGAACGUGCACGAUCUUGUCUGAUCUCAGAAGCUAAGCAGGGUCAGGUCUGGUUAGUAUUUGGAUGGGAGACCAUCAUUUUUUAAAGUGCCGUAGGCA
rnacentral:rRNA from 1 species